UCCGUAGGUGAACCUGCGGAGGGAUCAUUACCGAGUUAGGGUCCUCACAGGCCCGACCUCCCAACCCAUUGUUUAUGAUACUCAGUGUUGCUUCGGCAGGCCUGGUCUUUGACCUGCCGGAGGGCCGUAACACGCCCCCCGGAGAGCGCCUGCCGACGGCCCCAACUUCAAAAUUCUUAACUAAACAUGUCUUUGUCUAAGUAAAGUCUUUAAUAAAAGCAAAACUUUCAACAACGGAUCUCUUGGUUCUGGCAUCGAUGAAGAACGCAGCGAAAUGCGAUAAGUAAUGCGAAUUGCAGAAUUCUCGUGAGUCAUCGAAUCUUUGAACGCACAUUGCGCCCUUUGGUAUUCCGAAGGGCAUGCCUGUUCGAGCGUCAUUUUCACCCCUCAAGCCCCCGGCUUGGUGUUGGACGGUUUGGUCCCGGGACCCCCCUGGACCCCUCCCAAAGACAAUGACGGCGGGCUGUCGCACCCCCGGUACACUGAGCAUCUUCACGGAGCACGUACCGGUCUUCAGGGACGACGGCACCCGGUCUCACACCUAUAUCUUUCAAGGUUGACCUCGGAUCAGGUAGGAAUACCCGCUGAACUUAAGCAUAUCAAUAAGCGGAGGAA
rnacentral:misc_RNA from 1 species